rnacentral:snoRNA from 1 species
AGCCUCCUGAUGCUUACCAUCAGGCUGUAUUCUUACACUGUAUAGAAAGAGGAGUCAGAGUAAACCCACCCCAUAUACACCUAAGGCCAGGAAGGCCCUGUGCCUUGUCUGUAUUGUGAUUGGGAGGACAUGG